UGGACAUGAGUUUGAGCAAACUCCGGGAGAUCGUGAAGGACAGGGAGGCCUGGCAUUCUGCAGUCCAUGGGGUUGCAAAGAAUCAAACAUGACUUGCUGACUGAAAAACAACAACAAAUAAUUAUCCAUCUAUAUAAAUUUCCCUCAGAAGGAACACUGUAUGCUGCGGUCACAUCUCUUUAAUCUUUUACCUCCACAUAGAAGCGCAGAGCCUGAUCCAGUUCAUGGCUCUGAACUGGAUACAAAAUUUAUUUGUAUCAAGUCCUGAGCUGGACCUUGGAGCCUGCAGUUGGAGUCUGUUCUAUCAUUCCUGUUUAUGGCUCCUCCGGAACAAGAUAUGAAGAAAGGGGGGAUUCAAGGAAAAGAGAAAAAGGUUCUUUUGUGCAUUCAUUUUGAGAUUUGGAGGCUCUGUGAACUCUCUGUACUGUGUAUUUCUCUGACAUGGGUAAUGUAUUCCAGAGGUAGGUAUUUGCAAACAAUAUGAUCACUUGCCCAAUACUCAACCUCAAUGAAUAUCUUGAGGUAUCUUAUGAUACCUCCCAGCUCUUGCCUCCAAGUGUAUCCCCCAGUCCCUUUCCACUGAUGGGUCAGGAUACCUUAAAGAUGCCAGUAACUCCCCUCUCUGGCAUGACUUUUCCAUGAAAUGUGUGUAUUCUUGCUGGGAAUUCAGGCUGAUCCACUGGUUUCCCUUUUCCCCCAGGUAAUUUGUCUUCAGGCUGCUCCAGGAGAAAGACAGACACCUGCCUCUGUCUUCACAUGUGUUUGAAAACUCCAGAGGAUGCAAGUCAAGUUCUCCCAAGAACCCUCUUCUCUGGGUUGCUGGCUCCAAGUUAAUAUCAUUCAGUGAGCAUCAAGCUGGGAAGUGAGUUUCCUGGGUUCUUCCUUGCAGGCACUUCCACUCUUCAUGAAAAAUUUAUGUCUCAUUCCUUCACUCAGGGACAGUGAACUCUCUUCUUUCUAUGAGACAGAGAGGAGGAAAGCUAAAACAUUCUUUUCCUUUACCCCAGGAAGUGACCUGCCUCUUCCCUAAUAACUUAAUGAGCUCCAGUCUUCUGUACACAUACGUUGGAAGCAGUGUUGGAAGUGAGACCUGAGUCCCAUUUGGUCACUUUUCAGUCAGUCCUGGGAGGGAGUGCCUGCUGGUUCUAUGGCUCUUAACAGUGGCCUAUGGUUCUUAGUGAUGGGAGUCUGGAUGAAGAACAAGACAAGAGCAAAACCCCAUUCAGCAACAUGUUUCAUCUUGUAUAAAUAGUACCGUGAUAACAUUGUGAAGAACUGACUCAAAGGAGAUGAGAUGGGAGAUGGGGAUUUCAGGAAGCAAUCCAGAUGAGAAAUAAAAGGAGUCUGAACUCCUGGUCAUGGGAGUGGAAAGGAGGAGAUGGAUCUGUGAGAUAUCCACUGAGGUUGAGUGAGUAAUCAUGCAGUUGGCACAUAUGUAACAGAGAGACAGCAGAGCAGAAUUUGAGGACAUGCCUUGAUGUCUCUGGGGCGAUUCAGGCAGAGAAGCUCAGGGGGCCAGUUAGAGGUAUAAUAUGAGGUUCAAGAGAAGGAUCUGACUUGAGGCUAUGGCUGGAGGAAUUGGCAGAGUACAGGUGGUUAUUGACACCUGGAUUUUUGGGGUUAUCCAGGGCCAGUGCCUAAUAUGAGAAUGAAAGGGGCCCAGUAGAGCCCCAGGAAGCCCCUGCAUUGAAGGACUGGGUUAUUUGCCUGGGAGACUGAGGAGGGACCAGAAAGGUGGGAGGAAAAAGUUCUCCAAAGGAUACUGAGAAAAGCCUGUGCCCCUUUCCUCAAACCGUUCAGUAUAAAUGUCACCUCUCACCCUGCCCUGUAUCACUGGCACUUCUUUCCCUGGCCCUGCCUCUUCAUCUGCUCUGUACAGCUGCUCCUUCCUUGAUGAGCUGUUCCACAGGUCUGCAAAAUCACUUGGUGAGGCUUCAACUGCUUCCUCAAACCAGAGGCUCCUUCAUAAAUGCUCCUAAGAUGAGAGAUAACUAACUGGAGGAACAUGCUUUGCAUUUCUCAGGUAUACAUGUGUCCUCAGCAUCCAAAAUGCUCAGAGAUUCCCAAAGGCUGUGCUUUAAGUGCCCUUCUGGUUUGACGAGGAAUUGGAACUCGGUGGACCUCAUCAAGUCUUCGCAUUUCUAGAAAAGACCUCGAUGUCACUGGUGGAAGAGGAAGAUGAUCAUCAGAUAUUACAAGUGAUAUUAAUACUUUGUCAUGGGAUUUCUAUUGUUCCUCUUUUAGAGAGUAUUAUUACAAGGCCCUUGUGCUGUGCUGGGCUAGUCACUUUAGUUGUGUCUGACUCUUUGCAACGCUAUGGACCUGCCAGGCUCCUCUGCCCAUAGGAUUCUCCAGGCAAGAAUACUGGAGUGGGUUGCCAUGCCCUCCUCCAGGGGAUCUUCCCAACCCAGGGAUCGAACUCGAGUCUCAUGUCUCCUGCAUUGGCAGGAGGUUUUGUACCACUAGCACCACCUGGGAAAGACUACAAGCCCUUAUAAAUCUCCAAAUACAGAUUUAUAUUCCCACCAAUGGAUUCCUUUUUAGUUGGACAGAAGGACAGAGAGAAGAAUCCUAAGAAUGACAAAGAGAAAAAAAUGUUUUUUUUUUCUAGACACCCCCAAAGCAAAUCAAAAUAUUUGGGGUCAGAGAAUCCAACAGAUAAAGUCUGGCUCACUUCUACAAGCAUCCAUUAAGCAAACCACCUACUUCAAUAGUUGGAUCCUUUGCUGCCUUCAGUCAAAAUAAGUAUUUCUCCUUCUGUGUGCUUGCCUUCCCCAGCUCCCUCCCAGAGUAUAUGUCAAGACCCACAUCUGCUUUUGUUUUCCAGUUCUUUUGAAGUAGUUUGCCAAUUUGCAAUGCCCGCUUUCAUGCCAGGAUAAUCCAUUGCUAUAAUAUGGGCAAGCUCUUGAUCCCAUGCCCUGUGUAGCUUUGCCAAAGUCAUGGAGGAGGCCAGUGGGAAGCCAGGAACAGCACACACAGCUUCAGGCUUUCAGGGCCCUCCUCGAGCUGUAGACACACGGCUCUUUUUUUUUUUUUUCCUCUACAAGUGUUCCUUGGCUCUCAUAGGGAGCAAAUUUACUCUUUGAAAUGAAAUACAUACUCUAUGCCCUUAAACAAUAUCUUGCAAUAUCAUAUGAUAUUUGUCUUUCUCUCUCUGACUUACUUCAAUCAGUAUGACAAUUUCUUGGUCCAUCCAUGUUGCAUAAUAAUAGCAUUAUUUCACUCUUUUUAUGACUGAGUAA